GUGAGCGUGGGCCGAAUGUGUAACGAGUAUCGGGCGAGUGGAAUUAAACUUUUCAUUCAAACGCUCACCUCUUUAUUGAUUAUUACGUAGGUGCCAUUUCAUAAUUUCAACCAUACGUUAAAAGUUACGUGCAGUUGGUUUGUUUGGUAAGCAGGGAUUGCAUGCUAGUUAGUAAAAAUCAGCGAUAGGAACGAAAUACUGAUAAGGAUUUAUCGGCUCAAUAGUGUUCCGUCCUAAGUGUCUCCCUGAUUGUCGCAGACGGUUGUGCACACCAUAAAGCAAUCACCUGCUACUGAAAAAACAGCGUUGAUAUUAUUUGGCACGUAUUCGAUAGAAUAAAGCAAAGCAAAAGUGCGUAGCCGAGAAAUGUUGACUAUGGCUAACAAACAGGCUGCUGUCUACGAUUAACUCCUCCAGCUCAAGACGCACAAAACACACACACAGAAACAAACAUGUGUUGAC
rnacentral:lncRNA from 1 species